GGUAGCGGCGAUGACCCCGCAGAGCUCUGCUGCAACCUGUGCUGGCACUGGGGCGCCCGGCAAACUUCUGGUAUUGCGGCCCCGGAGGAAGUACCGCCGCCGAUGUGGCACCGCCGUUGUAGACGUCCUGGUGCUGACCCAUGCC
rnacentral:rRNA from 18 species